rnacentral:rRNA from 1 species
AUUGAACGCUGGCGGCAGGCCUAACACAUGCAAGUCGAGCGAGCGGCGGACGGGUGAGUAAUGUCUGGGGACCUGCCCGAUAGAGGGGGAUAACUACUGGAAACGGUGGCUAAUCCCGCAUACUAUCGGAUGAACCCAUAUGGGAUUAGCGAGUCGGUGGGGUAAAGGCUCACCUAGGCGACGAUCGCUAGCUGGUCUGAGAGGAUGAACAGCCACAUUGGAACUGAGACACGGCCCAGACUCCUACGGGAGGCAGCAGUGGGGAAUAUUGCACAAUGGGCGAAAGCCUGAUGCAGCCAUGCCGCGUGUAUGAAGAAGGCCUUCGGGUUGUAAAGUACUUUCAGCGGGGAGGCGUUACCCGCAGAAGAAGCACCGGCUAACUCCGUGCCAGCAGCCGCGGUAAUAC